UGAAGAAUACAGAGAGGAGCAAUACAAGAUAUUACUAAAAACUGGAAAUCCUGGUGCUUUUACUGCGAUUAAUUUUGUAGGCGAUCGAACUCUUCUAACAUACAGCACGAUACCCGCGCAUGUGGCUGCAUUCUACACCGUCUAUUUGGCACAAAACACCUCAGUCGCUAAUUUUAACAAAAUUAUACGUAGCUGGGCUUAUGAAGCGGGAAGAAAUGUUACGGUUAGCGUCGUUUAUGAAAAAAAUAGAGUUUAUGCUACAAAAGCCG